AGAGAGACAGCCCCACGCCCGGCAAGACGCAACUCCGGGCCACGGAGGGCGCCGCCCGGACAGCCCGGCCGGGUCAGGGGGCUUCGCCGCCGAGCACCCUCCGGCAGCCGCCCUCGGGCCUCCGCGGCCGGGCGGGAGGGCGCCUCCCCGACCACACUUCGGCCGCUUGGCACCCACAGCCGGGAGGGCGUGAGGAAGGACUCGGUCUAACUCCGGGGAACCCUCGGAGUUCCGGCGCAGACACCCGAGGGGGUGUCCUGGGAACUCCUUCGCCCGCGACACCCGUUCUUCUCCGUCUCCCGACCACCAGCGACGCAGCAGGGCGGCUGCCGGCCCGGCCCGGCCCGCCUUGCGGGCUGUGCGCGGCGCAGCUCUUCCUCCGCGGGGCCGUGAAGGCCACCGGCCGCCCCCGCGCGCCCAGCUGCCCGGCCCCGCCGCCUAAGCCGCCGCGUUGCUGGCGGGUAGCCGCGGGCCUCCGGUGCGCGGGCCCCGGCGCGUCCCCGAGCGCGCGCCUGGCCGCGGCCCCGCGCGAGUUGCACUAACUUUCCGGGGCGGGGGAGGGGUGGGCGCCGCGGGCCCGGCUCCCAGGCCUUACCUGUGCUCAAGUUGUCGUUGAUUUUCAAAGGCACCCGCAGGAUGUAGACCAGGAAUAGCACGAUGAAGAACCACACGGUCCACAGAUACGUCCAAGACCAAACUAUGCAGGACUUGAGCUGCUCCAGAAAGCCCGUGGCCGCUUCAGCCAUGUUUCAGCGCUCCUCUCUGCUGCCGCGGCUCUUGGUGUCUGCCGGGAUGAUUCACCGGCCCGGAGGCGCAGCUCGCGCCGCCGCCGCCGCCGCGGCCCGGGCGCCCCCGGAGCCCGCCCGCCGCCGGGGACGCGGGCUCGGCGGGAAAUCGCGCGGGCCGCGGGCGCGCCGGCUUUUCCUUCUCCAGCCUUAUUGCUAACUCUCUAAAGGUCCCUACAAGUGGCUUUCGUGGAGCGAUCACGUGGCCCCUGCCCCCUCGCGUUCUGGGUCCAUUUAUAUUUAUUAUGCUAAUAUUUAGAAAGAGAAGGCCAAGUGGCGCGCCGAAGGAAACGCCUCAGGCAGUUACAACCCGCAUAAGUUGAGCGUUUACCACACGCCAGGCGCUGCUCCACGAUCCGUACAAUCUCAUUUAACCCCUGCAACAAUUCCCCACUACGAUCCUCUUUCUAUAGGUAGGGAAACUGAGGCUCACAGCAGCUGCGUAGUUUACCUUAAGGUGGAACCAAAAUUCAAUUGCAGUGGUGUAUUCUGGGGUCCGAGGUCUUAAACCCUACUCUGCUCCCUUAUCAGGAUUCAGGCUCAGGGAAUGAAUAAACCCGGGACAGCUAGGAGAAGGGAGGAGGUGCGCUCCUGUCGCCGGCUAGUAGGCCUGAAGAUAAAUCACUCUAUUCAGCAAGAUUUGGGUGGCAGAUGCUAUUUACCUUUGUUCUGUCUCUUUGAAGCAGCGCAGGGAUUUUCCAGAGAAAUCUUGACAGAUGAAUGUUUAUCCUCCAGGUUUUUUGGUGAUCAGAGGUCAAACUAUUCUCAGCCUGUUUUUAAUAUAAACAAUUCUCUGGGAUAAUUUUGACUGUGAAACGGCCACCUCUAACAGAAAGUCCAUUUUAAACAUUGUUUUGUUGUUUUUGUUUUGUUUUGACUGUGCUGAAUAAAAUGUUUCUUUUAUUCUAAAAUGUUUUCUCAGCUGAAAUUUUCAAGUCUGUUUCUGUCCGUAAGUGAUUUGACUUUCUAUGUAUUAGAUGGUAAUGAGGAAAUUGCAGGUUUUCCAGUCUACAUCUAUUUUUAAAAUUCUGAGCAUAAAGAAUAUUUUAUUAUA
rnacentral:lncRNA from 1 species